AUGACUGUUCCGCGAGAACGGGUCUGGAUACCAGAUAUAGGUAUCCAAGAAGACAUCUCUGAUACAAGUAGUACCAUAUUGAGCCCAUAUGUCCAGGUGCAUCAUAAUUGGUUAGCUCAAGUGAUUGACCAGCGCCGGCUAACCACUUCCUGCAAGAUGGAUCUUUAUAGGUUCCCCCUUGACACCCAGAGCUGCAGCAUCACCUUUAAGUCCAUGAUACACAGAGGUAACCCCAACCUCACACACAUGUCUUUGUACCUUAGCCUCUUUCAUCAACUCCUUUUUCUCAGCUCCUUUUCAGAGGGCUGUACUAUAAAAACAUGUAACAUCAACAAAAUAUUUUAUCUGUUCAGCAUCAGAAAUAAAAUUGCGGGCAUUCGCCAGCGACACUGCAGUGAACCACAUAACUAGGGAGAGCAUGACUACACUGGAUGAAUGGGACUUCCUGGGCAUUGCUAUGACUGAGGAAGAACUAAAUUAUGGUGGUGAUGAAAAAUGGCAUCAGCUAAUAUACAAGGUAUUAAUUGAGGCAAAUGACAGCAUGAUCUUUAAAUAGAAUGACUGUUGUUAUGUUAGGAUUAUUUCAUAAUUUGUAAGAGACUACUACAAACUGAAGGGAUCACACUUGUCCCUUUCAUAAUUAUAAUGAGUAUUUCGACAAGUAUUUUUUGUCUAUUGUGCAUUCUAAUUUAUAUGAUCCUUUUCCCCUUCCAUACAGAUCACCUUACGAAGGAGGCCACUAUUAUAUAUAAUCAACCUUGUGGUACCAAUUGCCUUUUUUCUUGUGUUGGAUUUGGCCUCCUUUUUUGUCAGUGAGGCCAAAGGGGAAAAGCUAGGCUUCAAAGUGACCAUACUCUUGUCCAUCUCUGUCCUAUUGUUGAUUCUCAAUGACAUCCUGCCCUCCACAGCAAAUAACCUGCCAGUGAUAGGUGAGAAGUUACCACAUUAUAGGUUUACAGCAUGGUAAAUACAAGAACACCCCUCCAAAUUGUAUUUAGCCUCAUGUCAUUUGCACAGUCUUAUUCUCAUCUUUAUUCUGAAUAUUUCCCCAUAAUUUCCUAAGUGUUUUCAUUUUACAGUUAAGGUCGGAGGUUUACAUACACCUUAGCCAAAUACAUUUAAACUCAGUUUUUCACAAUUCCUGACAUUUAAUCCUAGUAAAAAUUCCCCUGUCUUAGGUCAAUUAGGAUCACCACUUUAUUUUAAGAAUGUGAAAUGUCAGAAUAAUAGUAGAGAGAAUUAUUUAUUUCAGCUUUUAUUUCUUUCAUCACAUUGCCCAUGGGUCAGAAGUUUACAUACACUCAAUUAGUAUUUGGUAGCAUUGCCUUUAAAAUGUUUAACUUGGGUCAAACGUGUCGGGUAGCCUUCCACAAGCUUCCCACAAUAAGUUGGAAGAAUUUUGGCCCAUUCCUCCUGACAGAGCUGGUGUAACUGAGUCAGGUGUGUAGGCCUCCUUGCUCGCACACGCUUUUUCAGUUCUGCCCACACAUUUUCUAUGGGAUUGAGGUUAGGGCUUUGUGAUGGCCACUCCAAUACCUUGACUUUGUUGUCCUUAAGCCAUUUUCCCACAUCUUUGAAAGUAUGCUUGGGGUCAUUGUCCAUUUGGAAGACCCAUUUGCGACCAAGCUUCAACUUCCUGACUGAUGUCUUGAGAUAUUGCUUCAAUAUAUCCACCUAAUUUUCUAUCCUCAUGAUUCCAUCUAUUUGUGAAGUGCACCAGUCCCUCUGCAGCAAAGCACCCCCACAACAUGAUGCUGCCACCCCUGUGCUCAUGGUUGGGAUGAUGUUCUUUGGCUUGCAAGCAUCCCCCUUUUUCCUCCAAACAUAAUGAUGGUCAUUAUGGCCAACCAGUUCUAUUUUUGUUUCAUCAGACCAGAGGACAUUUCUCCAAAAAGUACGAUCUUUCUCCCCAUGUGCAGUUGCAAACUGUAAUCUGGCUUUGUUAUGGCGGUUUUGGAGCAAUGGCUUCUUCCUUGCUGAGCGGCCUUUCAGGUUAUGUCGAUAUAGGACUUGUUUUGCUGUGGAUAUAGGUACUUUAGUACCUGUUUCCUUCAACAUCUUCACAAGGUCCUUUGCUGUUGUUCUGGGAUUGAUUUGCACUUUUUGCACCAAAGUAUGUUAAUCUCUAGGAGACAGAACGAGUCUCCUUCCUGAGCGGUAUAAUGGCUGCAUGGUCCCAUGGUGUUUAUACUUGCGUACUAUUGUUUGUACAGAUGAACGUGUUACCUUCAGGCGUUUGGAAAUUGCUCCCAAGGAUGGCUGAUUUAUUUUGGUCUUGGCUGAUUUCUUUUGAAUUUCCCUUGAUGUCAAACAAAUAGGCACUGCGUUUGAAGGUAGGCCUUGAAAUACAUCCACAGGUACAAUUCCAAUUGACUCAAAUUAUGUCAAUUAGCCUAUCAGAAGCUUCUAAAGCCAUGGCAUCAUUUUCAGUUAUUUUCCAAGCUAUUUAAAAGCACAGUCAACUUAGUGUAUGUAAACUUCUGACCCACUGGAAUUGUGAUACAGUGAAUUAUAAGUGAAAUAAUCUGCCUGUAAACAAUUGUUGGAAAAAUGACUUGUGUCAUGGACAAAGUAGAUGUCCUAACCAAGUUGCCAAAACUAUAGUUUGUUAACCAUAAAUAUGUGGAGUGGUUGAAAAACGAGUUUUAAUUACUCCAACCUAAGUGUAUGUAAACUUCUGACUUCAACUGUAUAUCAUUGACAUCUCCCGUUCUCCAGCUAUUUACUGCAUCGUAAUCUUUGCCCUUACGGGCCUCAGCCUCCUGGAGACCAUGCUAAUGAGCUUCCUGAUUGAUAUGGACAGCAGGGUUGAUCAGGACGUCCAGACCUCUGCUAAGACCUGCGAAGAGACUCAAGAAGAGACUGAAUGCCGAAGAGGUGAAAUCUGUUAUUUUGUCAUUUUCAUAAGAGAUUGAUAAUGAUCCAGGACAUUACUGAGGCCAUAGAUGUAGAAUAUAAUACCCCCAACACAAUUGAUUAGACUUCAGAAACUGCAAGAAAACCUUCCAAUUUUCUUCUUAGAGCCUGAGAGAGAUGUUGAGAGCAGCCUGGAGAAGGUGGACACCUUUAUCAAGAAGGACCUCGAUGGAAACUGGCUGAACAACCCCUACCUGCUGCAGCUGAUCCUAAAGGAGGUGCAGAACGUGCGGCAGGAAUGGUUCUCUGUUAAUGUGAGAUGUGGCAAGAAGAAGCCGGGGUACUGGGAGAAAGUGGCCAGACGCAUUGACCAGGCUUACUUUUGCCUUUAUCUCAUUACCACCAUUAGUUUUCUGAUAUUCAUAAGUUUCAUGUGGCUUCAUUAACUGUGCACAGUGCAUUUACAAUAUAUGAGGAUUUUUAGGCUCUUUGGGUUACUUAUAUGCAUAAUAUUGGUACUUAAUGGUAAAUAAUACUGGUAAAUUCCAAUAAAUUAUUCUUUAUAAAUAGCUGUUUCCCCGCAAGACCUGUAGACUAAAGCUUUUAAUAUAUUUUACAUUAUCUUCAUUACCUAACCUGACUUAGGUUCACUUAGCUACUGCUUCUGUUGUUAAGGCUAUUGUUCAUGUCUGUGAUUGAGCUAACUGAAAUAAAUCAAUUACUAUUUGCAACAUAUUCAUUAAGUUGUUUCCAGUGGUGCAUGGGAAACAUCCAUGGGCAAGCCUCCCCAAAAAAUAAUAUUACAACCUGUGUUGUGAUAAUUGCGUUGUUUGCUCUAUAGCCUGUUAGUUCAUGUGCCUUGCCACCGUGAUAUACAGUGCAUUUGGGAAGUAUUCAGACCCCUUGAUUUUUUACAGCUUUAUUCUAAAAUGUAAAAAAACAAAAAAAAUCUCAAUCUACACACAAUACCCCAUAACGACAAAGUGAUAACAAGUUGAGAAAUGUUUGCAAAUUUAUUACAAAUUAAAAACUGAAAUACCCUAUUGACAUUAGUAUUCAGACCCUUUCCUUUGAGGCUCGAAAUUUAGCUCAGGUACAUCCUGUUUCCAUUGAUUCUUCAGAUGUUUCUACAACUUGAUUGGAGUCCAGCUGUGGUAAAUUCAAUGAAUUGGACAUGAUACGGAAAGGCACACACCUGCCUAUAUAAGGUCCCACAGUUGACCGUGCAUGUCAGAGCAAAAACCAAUCCAUGAGGUUGAAAGAAUUGUCCGUAGAGCUCCGAGACAGGACUGAAUCAAGGUACAGAUCUGGGGAAGGGUACCAAAACAUUUCUGCAGCAUUGAAGGUCACCAAGAACACAGUGGCCUCCAUUAUUCUAACAUGUAAGAAGUUUGGAACCAGCAAUACUCUUUCUAGAGCUGGGCCCGGCCAAACUGAGCAAUCUGGGGAGAAGGGCAUUAGUCAGUGGGGUGACCACGAACCCAGUGGUCACUCUUACAGAGCUCCAGAGUUCCUCUAUGGAGAUGGGAGAACCUUCCAGAAGGACAACCAUCUCUGCAGCACUCCACCAAUCAGGCCUUUAUGGUAGAGUGGCCAGACGGAAGCCACUCCUCAGUAAAAGGCACAUGUCAGACUGCUUGUAGUUUGCCAAAAGGCACCUAAACACUCUCAGACCAUGAGAAACAAGAUUAUCUGGUCUGAUGAAACCAAGAUUGGACUCUUUCGCCUGAAUGCCAAGCGUCAAGUCUGGAGGAAACCUGGCACCAUCCCUACGGUGAAGCAUAG
rnacentral:lncRNA from 1 species